rnacentral:tRNA from 1 species
GCCCGGGUGGUGAAAUGGUAGACACAGCGGACUUAAAAUCCGCCGACUUUGCGGUCGUGCCGGUUCGAGUCCGGCUCCGGGCA